AGUGAACGCUGGCGGUAGGCCUAACACAUGCAAGUCGAACGGCAGCACAGUAAGGGCUUGCUCUUACGGGUGGCGAGUGGCGGACGGGUGAGGAAUACAUCGGAAUCUACUUUUUCGUGGGGGAUAACGUAGGGAAACUUACGCUAAUACCGCAUACGACCUACGGGUGAAAGCAGGGGAUCUUCGGACCUUGCGCGAUUGAAUGAGCCGAUGUCGGAUUAGCUAGUUGGCGGGGUAAAGGCCCACCAAGGCGACGAUCCGUAGCUGGUCUGAGAGGAUGAUCAGCCACACUGGAACUGAGACACGGUCCAGACUCCUACGGGAGGCAGCAGUGGGGAAUAUUGGACAAUGGGCGCAAGCCUGAUCCAGCUAUACCGCGUGGGUGAAGAAGGCCUUCGGGUUGUAAAGCCCUUUUGUUGGGAAAGAAAAGCAGCAGGUUAAUACCCCGCUGUUCUGACGGUACCCAAAGAAUAAGCACCGGCUAACUUCGU
rnacentral:rRNA from 1 species